GUAAAGGGCGGUCAGUUGGUUAAGCAAGUCAGAGGAGAAAUCGUAAAGAUUAAGUGAGGUAGUUCCUAUGAUACUGCAUAGAUUGUGUUAGGAAGGGGUGGAAGUAAUUGUGGGGGUAGCAGAGAAAUGGGUAGUUAUCAGGACGACCACCAGGGGAGAAGGCGGUCAGCCGGUCAGUUACAACCACUAAAGCAAGAAAGCGUGGGGAGCAAACAGGAUUAGAUACCCGGGUAGUCCACGCCUUAAACGAAGAAUACUAGACGUUGGGUGUAAAAACUCAGUGUCGCAGCUAACGCAUUAAGUAUUCCACCUGGGGAGUACGAUCGCAAGGUUGAAACUCAAAGGAAUUGACGGGGGCCCGCACAAGCAGUGGAGCAUGUGGUUCAAUUCGAUGCAACGCGAAGAACCUUACCUGGGCUUGAAACGCAAGCUAAGGCUGGUGAAAGCCGGCGUGCCGCAAGGCGAGCUUGUACAGGUGCUGCAUGGCUGUCGUCAGCUCGUGCCGUGAGGUGUUGGGUUAAGUCCCGCAACGAGCGCAACCCUUGUUCUUAGUUGCCACCGGGUAAUGCCGAGCACUCUAAGGAGACUGCCUACGCAAGUAGUGAGGAAGGUGGGGAUGACGUCGAGUCCGCAUGGCCCUUACGCCCAGGGCCACACACGUGCUACAAUGGCCACUACAAAGGGCUGCAAAGCCGCAAGGUGAAGCCAAUCCCUAAAAAGUGGUCUCAGUUCGGAUCGGAGUCUGAAACUCGACUCCGUGAAGCUGGAAUUGCUAGUAAUCGUGGAUCAGCACGCCACGGUGAAUACGUUCCCGGGCCUUGCACUCACCGCCCGUCAAG
rnacentral:rRNA from 1 species